rnacentral:lncRNA from 1 species
ACAGCCACUAACACCAAAAUGACAAAGAUGUUGCAAUUAUCUGACAAGGACUUUAAGGCAAUAAUUAUAAAAAUGAUUCAAUAAGCAAUUAAAAAACACUCUUGAAACAAAUGAAAAAAAGUCUUAGCAAAAAAAAAGUAUAAAGAAGAAUCAAAUGAAAAUUUUAGAACUGAGGUAAAUACAAAAACAAAAAAACUCAACGGAGGAGCUUAACAACAAAAUGAAGAGGACAGAGGAAACAGUGAACUUGAAGCUAGAACAGUAAAAAUUACCCAACUUGAACAAAAGAGAAAAAAUAGACUGGGAGAAGGGUUGGAAUUCAUGAACAGAAACUAAAGGACCUGUGGAACUAAAACGAAAGAUUUAACCUCAUGUCAUUGGAAACUAGAAAGGAGAAAAGAAAGAGAGUGGAGCCAAAAAAUAUUCUAAGAAAUAAUUGCUGAUAUUUUCCAAAAUUUGGCAAAAGACAUAUGCCUACAGAUUCAAAACGAUAAGCCAACUCUAAACAGAGAAAAAAUGGAUAGAAAUCCAAACCAAAAUACAUAAAAAUUACACUUCUGAUACUGUGAAGAAAAACUCUUAAAGUAGUGAGAGAAAAACGACAUUUUACCAAUAGGGCAAAAAUAAUUUAAAUGACAAAUUUGUCAACAGAAAUUAUGGAUGACAGAAGGAAAUGGUACAACAUUUUCAAAUGCUGAAAGAAAAGAAAUGUCAGCCUCCAGUUCUAUAUAUGGUUAAAUUAUCCUUCAAAAAUCAAGACAUUUGGCCGGGCGCAGUGGCUCACGCCUGUAAUCCCAGAACCUUGGGAGGCCGAGGCGGGCGGAUCACUUGAGGUCAGGAGUUUGAGAACAGCCUAACCAACAUGGCGAAACCCCGUCUCUAUUAAAAAUACAAAAAAAAAAAAAAAAAAAAAAUAGCUGGGCGUGGUGGCAGGUGCCUGUAAUCCCAGCUGCUCAGGAGGCUGAGCCAGGAGAAUCCCUUGAACCCGGGAGGCGGAGGUUGCAGCGAGACGAGAUAGCACCAUUGCACUCCAGCCCGGC